rnacentral:misc_RNA from 1 species
AAGUCGCAACAAGGUUUCCGUAGGUGAACCUGCGGAAGGAUCAUUAACACGUAUCCAAACGUUAAACCCCCCUGUGAACCUUCACCUGUACUCGUACGUCCGUUAGAAAAAGCAGCAAUCCCUGGUAAAUCAUCGCCGAACAGUUUUCGAUUCAGGGACGUCUGCAAGGAGCGUGUGAAGCAAGUGGCCUGGCAUCUGUCUGAAAGUGUCAUUACCUGUGUAAGGAUGACGCAGUCACGAUCGUUGGAGGCCCACAGGGUCGCUGGGCGCAAGCCCCCCUAUAACAAACCCCCUGCCAAUCGCGGCCGCGAUAAUACGCAGUCGACCAAAAACCGAACAACUGUUAACAAUGGAUAUCUUGGUUCUC